rnacentral:rRNA from 1 species
UACGGAGGGUGCAAACGUUGCUCGGAAUCAUUGGGCGUAAAGCGCACGUAGGCGGACCGCUAAGUCGGAUGUGAAAGCCCUCGGCUUAACCGAGGAAGUGCAUUCGAAACUGACGGUCUUGAGUAUGGAAGAGGGUCGCGGAAUUCCCGGUGUAGAGGUGAAAUUCGUAGAUAUCGGGAGGAACACCAGUGGCGAAGGCGGCGACCUGGGCCAAUACUGACGCUGAGGUGCGAAAGCGUGGGGAGCAAACAGGAUUAGAAACCCCCGUAGUCC